AUGUUACAGGAUGACCUUCGUACAUCACAUUGGAAUAAUAUACUAGACAGUGAAUUGUGGGAGUUGGACCAAGAGAGGACUGAAAUUGUGCCAGCUCUACGGUUGAGCUACAUAUAUUUACCAUUCCACUUGAAGAGAUGUUUUUCAUUUUGUGCUGUGUAUCCCAAAGAUAAGGAGUUUGAAAAGGAUAACAUAGCAGAAAUUUGGGCAGCAGAAGGAUUUGUGAAAUGUCAAGGUGUUGUUCCACUUCAAGAUAUUGGUUGUCAAUACUUUAAUGACCUUUUAAAUCGGUCCUUCUUUCAAGAAGUUCAAGGCAAAUACUUAAUCCAUGACUUGUUGCAUGAUAUGGCACAAAAAGUUUCCGAGGAUGAUUGUUUCAUUGUGAAAAGGACGGUUGACUUCAAAAGGAUUCCUCGGAAUGUCCGGCAUUUGACAGUACUCACUGGCAAAGAGAUAUAUAAUUCUGACUUGUCGAGCCUAUGCCAGUACAAAAAACUUCAUACCCUUCUUUGCAACAAACAUUUGGGAAAUAAAAAAACCCCAACUCAUUUGGUGGAAGAUUGGUGCAAUGAACUUCCGCGUAUGCGUGUGAUUGUUUGUGCAACCAUGAAUGAGUUACCAGCUAGCAUUGGCAAAUUGAAGCAUCUUCGAUACCUUGAGAUAUCCAGAUCAUGUUCUGUCACCAGUUUUCCUACAACAUUCUGUAGGCUCCAUAAUUUGCAGGUUUUAUGUGUCAAGCAAUGCCGGGUAGAAAGCUUGCCCAGUGAUUUCAAUAGGUUGAUCAACUUAUGGAGAUUUGAAUCGCAGGGAUUUAAAUAUGGUCCAAAUAUUAGAGGAUUUCCAGAAGAAUAUUAUGGAUUAAAUAUUGAUGCAGCCAGAGAUAAGUCUGGACUAGGAUGUAGGUUGAUAAAAAAUAUGGAGCAACUUCGUGGACAUUUGGUGAUAAACAAUGUUUACAAGCUAAGCAAGGAUCAUUCAGCAGAAGCCAAACUAAAGAAUAAGGAAUGUUUUGACAAGGUGACGCUGGAAUAUCUACCUGCCAUUGAGAGUAUUACAUUUCACUAUUGUCCGCAAUUGUUCAUGUACGAUAAAAGGUUUGGGGGUUUUUCUUCUCUGAAGAAUUUGGAAAUUUCUGACUGCAAGGGUAUCAGCUGGGAGGGGUUGGUGUUAUUACUUAUUACCAUCGUCCCUCCAAAGUCUCCACUUAGAAGACUGUGGGGAUAUCUCUGCAUUUAUUGUUUCACUAAAUAUAGCACACUGUUGGGGUAUAAUAUCCACUCCAGGUCACCUUUGGAGCAGUAG
rnacentral:rRNA from 1 species